rnacentral:rRNA from 1 species
GAUGAACGCUGGCGGCGUGCCUAAUACAUGCAAGUCGAGCGAACAGACGAGGAGCUUGCUCCUCUGACGUUAGCGGCGGACGGGUGAGUAACACGUGGAUAACCUACCUAUAAGACUGGGAUAACUUCGGGAAACCGGAGCUAAUACCGGAUAAUAUAUUGAACCACAUGGUUCAACAGUGAAAGACGGUUUUGCUGUCACUUAUAGAUGGAUCCGCGCCGCAUUAGCUAGUUGGUAAGGUAACGGCUUACCAAGGCAACGAUGCGUAGCCGACCUGAGAGGGUGAUCGGCCACACUGGAACUGAGACACGGUCCAGACUCCUACGGGAGGCAGCAGUAGGGAAUCUUCCGCAAUGGGCGAAAGCCUGACGGAGCAACGCCGCGUGAGUGAUGAAGGUCUUCGGAUCGUAAAACUCUGUUAUUAGGGAAGAACAAAUGUGUAAGUAACUAUGCACGUCUUGACGGUACCUAAUCAGAAAGCCACGGCUAACUACGUG